AGAACGAACGCUGGCGGCAUGCCUAACACAUGCAAGUCGAACGCUCUUGGGGCUUCGGUCUCAGGGGAGUGGCGCACGGGUGAGUAGCGCGUGGGAACCUGCCCUGUUGUGGGGGAUAACCGAGGGAAACUUCGGCUAAUACCGCAUAAGCCGGUUGUCUUGAAGGAGAUGGCCGGGAAAGAUUUAUCGCGACAGGAGGGGCCCGCGUCGGAUUAGCUAGUUGGUGGGGUAACGGCCCACCAAGGCGGUGAUCCGUAGCUGGUCUGAGAGGAUGAUCAGCCACACUGGGACUGAGACACGGCCCAGACUCCUACGGGAGGCAGCAGUGGGGAAUAUUGGACAAUGGGCGCAAGCCUGAUCCAGCAAUGCCGCGUGAGUGAUGAAGGCCUUAGGGUUGUAAAGCUCUUUCGCCCGCGACGAUGAUGACGGUAGCGGGAGAAGAAGCCCGGCUAACUUCGUGCCGGCAGCCGC
rnacentral:rRNA from 1 species